rnacentral:rRNA from 1 species
UACGAAGGGGGCUAGCGUUGCUCGGAAUCACUGGGCGUAAAGCGCACGUAGGCGGGUCUUUAAGUCAGGGGUGAAAUCCUGGAGCUCAACUCCAGAACUGCCUUUGAUACUGAGGAUCUCGAGUCCGGGAGAGGUGAGUGGAACUCCGAGUGUAGAGGUGAAAUUCGUAGAUAUUCGGAAGAACACCAGUGGCGAAGGCGGCAUCCUGGACCAACACUGACGCUGAGGAGCGAAAGCCAGGGGAGCAAACGGG